rnacentral:rRNA from 2 species
AUCCUGGCUCAGAACGAACGCUGGCGGCAGGCUUAACACAUGCAAGUCGAGCGCCCCGCAAGGGGAGCGGCAGACGGGUGAGUAACGCGUGGGAAUCUACCCUUUUCUACGGAAUAACGCAGGGAAACUUGUGCUAAUACCGUAUAAGCCCUUCGGGGGAAAGAUUUAUCGGGAAAGGAUGAGCCCGCGUUGGAUUAGCUAGUUGGUGGGGUAAAGGCCUACCAAGGCGACGAUCCAUAGCUGGUCUGAGAGGAUGAUCAGCCACAUUGGGACUGAGACACGGCCCAAACUCCUACGGGAGGCAGCAGUGGGGAAUAUUGGACAAUGGGCGCAAGCCUGAUCCAGCCAUGCCGCGUGAGUG